AAGGAGCAAAUUACUGUAAACUGUGGUCUUUUGCAAUUGCAGAAUAUCCUGCCUGCCAGGAUAGAGCACGUUGCUGGAGCAGUAUGGUCCCUUUACACAGGAGAAAAAAUAUCAGACAAACUCACACCAAGGACCAUCUUCUCUGUGGAUUAGAUUGUUCUGUGAGAAGCUGAGGACAUCUGCUGAUUCAUUUUGCCAGCCAGAACAAGUAUGU